UCCUAGUUAACCUAGGCAGUCUCGUUAGAGUUCCCGCCAUUACGCGCUGGCAACUAACGAUAAGGGUUGCGCUCGUUGCUGGACUUAACCAAACACCUCACGGCACGAGCUGACGACAGCCAUGCAGCACCUAUAUAGAGACCCUUUCGAGAAACAUCAUCUCUGAUGUCGUCCUCUACAUUUCGAGCCCAGGUAAGGUUCUUCGCGUAGCAUCGAAUUAAACCACAUGCUCCACUGCUUGUGCGGGCCCCCGUCAAUUCUUUUGAGUUUCACCCUUGCGAGCGUACUCCCCAGGCGGUAUACUUAACGCGUUAGCUCCGAUACAGAAAGGGUUGAGCCUUCCUACAUCCAGUAUACAUCGUUUACGGCUAGGACUAC
rnacentral:misc_RNA from 1 species